UACGAGGGGGCUAGCGUUGCUCGGAAUCACUGGGCGUAAAGCGCACGUAGGCGGAUUGUUAAGUCAGGGGUGAAAUCCUGGAGCUCAACUCCAGAACUGCCUUUGAUACUGGCGAUCUCGAGUCCGGGAGAGGUGAGUGGAACUGCGAGUGUAGAGGUGAAAUUCGUAGAUAUUCGCAAGAACACCAGUGGCGAAGGCGGCUCACUGGCCCGGGUACUGACGCUGAGGUGCGAAAGCGUGGGGAGCAAACAGG
rnacentral:rRNA from 1 species